UACAGAGGUCUCAAGCGUUGUUCGGAUUCAUUGGGCGUAAAGGGUGUGUAGGUGGCGCGCUAAGUCGGGUGUGAAAUUUCGGAGCUUAACUCCGAAACUGCAUUCGAUACUGGCGUGCUUGAGGACUGGAGAGGAGACUGGAAUUCAUGGUGUAGCAGUGAAAUGCGUAGAGAUCAUGAGGAAGACCAGUGGCGAAGGCGGGUCUCUGGGCUGACACUGACCGCUCAUGCACGAAAGCGUGGGGA
rnacentral:rRNA from 1 species